AUUGAACGCUGGCGGCAGGCCUAACACAUGCAAGUCGAACGAGUGGCGGACGGGUGAGUAAUUUCUGGGAAACUGCCCGAUGGAGGGGGAUAACUACUGGAAACGGUAGCUAAUACCGCAUACCAUCGGAUGUGCCCAGAUGGGAUUAGCUAGUAGGUGGGGUAACGGCUCACCUAGGCGACGAUCCCUAGCGGGUCUGAGAGGAUGACCGGCAACACUGGACCUGAGACACGGUCCAGACUCCUACGGGAGGCAGAGGUGGGGAAUAUUGCACAAGGGGCGCAAGCCUGAUGCAGCCAUGCCGCGUGUAUGAAGAAGGCCUUCGGGUUGUAAAGUACUUUCAGCGAGGAGGCGUUACUAGCAGAAGAAGCACCGGCUAACUCCGUGCCAGCAGCCGCGGUAAAC
rnacentral:rRNA from 1 species